rnacentral:piRNA from 1 species
UGGUUUCCUCAAAUUGAAAGCCGAGGGAGA